AUGGAUUUUUUGUUCACAAAAGAUAGCGUAGGGAUGAUAUGGAGGAAAUUCAUGGAACCUGAGUUUGAUACAGCUGUGUUGUUGAAUGCUGACCCCUUAACAAUCCAAUCUAUCCGCACUAGCUUCACUGGUGCACUUGAUAAAUGGAACCCUGCCUCAACUAGAGUGUGGCACAUACCAGCCAUCUUGCCCGAUGGAUGGGACGUGUACUCAUUUGAUAUGCUGAAAAGGAGGAUAGCCGUUCUUGAUCCAGCAGUUGGACCAUUUGGCUUUAGCAAUCGCAGGGUAAACAUGCACACAUAUGUGUCAAACCUUCUGCAUUCCGCCCUAUUCAGAUGCCUCCAGUGCCUCUAUGAGUCAUGGCAUUGCAACUGUGGAGAAUGGACCAGGUCAUUCCCAAUGCUGAUGGUGGAGAAGGUUGAUAAGUAA
rnacentral:rRNA from 1 species